UCGGGAAUUUUGGGCAAUGGGCGAAAGCCUGACCCAGCAACGCCGCGUGAAGGAUGAAGUAUUUCGGUAUGUAAACUUCGAAAGAAUAGGAAGAAUAAAUGACGGUACUAUUUAUAAGGUCCGGCUAACUACGUGCCAGCAGCCGCGGUAAUACGUAGGGACCAAGCGUUGUUCGGAUUUACUGGGCGUAAAGGGCGCGUAGGCGGCAAUUCAGGUCAUCUGUGAAAUCUCCGGGCUUAACUCGGAACGGUCAGAUGAUACUGCUUUGCUAGAGUGCAGAAGGGGCAAUCGGAAUUCUUGGUGUAGCGGUGAAAUGCGUAGAUAUCAAGAGGAACACCUGAGGUGAAGACGGGUUGCUGGGCUGACACUGACGCUGAGGCGCGAAAGCCAGGGGAGCAAACGGGAUUAGAUACCCACGUAGUCUGAGCGGGCUGGCAAGGCGCAU
rnacentral:rRNA from 1 species